rnacentral:tRNA from 1 species
GGAGGAGUGUAGGAGCGGUUUAUCUAGCAGGUCUCGAAAACCUUGCGGGUUACACCCACGCGAGUUCGAAUCUCGCCUCCUCCG